CUCUUAUCCAGAGAGGUGGAGGGACUGGCCCGAUGAAGCCCGGCAACCAACAUCGGAAUGAGUUGUAUGGUGCCAAUUCCUGCAGGUGCGAUGUGCCUGGCAGAUAAGAG
rnacentral:ncRNA from 2 species